CCUUUACCAGCUUCAAAAAUGUUAUUUUCGGUUGAUUUUGAAAUGAAAGUUUCAUUUUCUGAAACCAAGAUUUGUUAUUAACUUUUUGUUUUAUAAUAACACUGCCGAAA